AUGGCGGGGAAGGACUGGUUCACCUCCUUCAUGGAGCGCAGUGGCAGCCACUCCCUUCGGCGUCCAGAGGCCACUAGCCAACAACGGUUGUCUAAUUUCAACCAAAGAAAUGUCAACUUGUUCCACCAAAAUUUAAAGACGGUGCUGGACCGGCACCAGUUCCAGGCCAAGGAUAUUUGGAACAUUGAUGAAACCGGGGUCACCACUGUCCAGGUGCCAGACCGUGUCGUCGCCCAGAUGGGGCAGAAGCAGGUCGGGUCAGUGACCUCAGCGGAGAGGGGGACCCUGGUCACAGUUGCCUUGGCAGGCAAUGCUCAGGGCGACCUUGUUCCGCAAUUCUUCAUCUUCCCACGCAUGGACGUACCUGAACGAGCUGCCGGGCCUGCAGAAGCUGCCGGGCCUGACGAAGCUGUCCGGCCUGAGGGAGAUGCCGUUGAAUUCAGCCCGGACAUCGUCCGGCCUUACCCUAAGGCCGGACCUAGAAAGAUCACAAAGAGAAGAGGGAGAAAGAGGACAACUGCUAUACUGACGGACACCCCGGUGAGGGCUGCUUUAGAGGCGGAAAAGCAGGGAACUGUGAAGCAGUGUCGUCCCGCCAAGCAGCCUCCCUCCUCUCGGGCUCCCAAGAAGAGGCUCUUCUCGCCCGCUCCUGAAGCCGCCCCCCUUGCUGGAGUCACACCUGGUGCCACCUCAGCUGCUCCUCCCACCAUCACCGGGCCCGCUGAUGGAGGCAGCCCCACCUUAGGCCUAGUGUGUCCUGUUCCGGAGGCAGCAGAGUUCACCACUAUUGCUGCCUCUACUUCUCCAAUUUAUUUAGGCCUAUCCAGCGAGGACGUCAGCUGCCUCGUGUGCUGCGAGCUCUUCAGCGCCUCCAUGCCUUGGGAAGAGUGGGUCCAGUGUGUCUUUUGCUACAAGUGGUCGCAUGAGGCUUGCACCGACGGGAGUGCACACUACCUGUGUCACCUGUGUGACAAAGAAUAAAAAUAUUUAGCCUACUAUACUGUCCAUGUGUCUUCACUAGUUUGCAGUGGAAAUACUGUAAAUGUAGGCCUACAGCACAAUUCACUUAACAUUAUAGACUGAUUAACUAACUGAGGCCUGGGUUAGGCUAUGAGUGGGAGCUUGGCUAUUGAAUAUUUUGCAGGGUAGGCCUACUUUUCGUCCAUCAUUGUAACGCAUCAAAAAUAACAAUGGCUACAUUAAAUGAUGACAAUAAUAUUUUAAUUUAGUGGACAUGCACACUGAAGAACUGCUGGAUAUAAGCUAUAGGCUAGCCUUCUACACCCUUGCUCUUGGUCACG
rnacentral:lncRNA from 1 species